CUUCACCCUUGGACAACUGACAACUUCCAGAAAUAGUUAUAUGGGUCUACCCCAAGGCUCAUGUCUGAGCCCCCUUCUUUAUAAUUUUUAUGUGAAAGAUAUUGACAGUUGUUUGGCAGAACAAUGCACGCUUAGACAGCUUGCAGAUGAUGGUGUGGUUUCCGUCAGAGGUCUCCAUGCCGAAAAUUUGCAAAGACCAUUGCAAAAUUCCUUAGAUAACUUGUCUUCUUGGGCAAGGAACUUAGGGAUCGAAUUCUCGCCGCAGAAAACCGAACUGGUAGUGUUUACUCGAAAGCGGUUCCCAGCCCAAUUGCAACUUAAGCUUUUGGGCAGAAGCAUUACCCAAUCAUUGACUUUCAAGUACCUUGGUGUCUGGUUUGAUUCAAAAUGCACUUGGAAUACCCACAUUACGUAUUUGAAGCAAAAAUGUCAAAAGAGGGUCAACUUCCUCCGCUCGAUUUGCGGCACGUGGUGGGGAGCUAAUCCGGGAGAUCUCAUAACACUUUAUAAAACAACUAUUCUAUCCAUUCUGGAGUAUGGCUCUUUUUGCUUUCUCUCAGCAGCUAAAAGUCACCUUCUAAAACUGGAACGAAUUCAAUAUCAUUGUCUGCGUAUAGCUCUUGGCUGUAUGCACUCAACGCAUAACAUGAGUCUCGAGGUUCUGGCAGGAGUAACUCCUCUACAGAACCGAUUCUGGGAACUUUCUCUCAGAAUACUGGUGAAAUGCGGAGUCACGAACACACUUUUGAUUGAAAACUUUGAAAAAAUUCUUCAUCUAAAUAUACAAUCUCGGUUUAUGAGAAUUUACCACCACUAUAUUUCGUCAGAUAUUUGUCUUCCAUCGUUUACUCCAGACCGUGCUCACUUCACCAUCAGCAGUUCCUCAAUUGAAUACGAUCUGUCGAUGAAACAAGCAAUACUUGGAAUCUCAGAUCAGCUUCGAUCAACUUACAUUCCCCGUAUUUUUAACCGAAAGUACUCAAAAGUCAAUUGCAUGAAAAGAUACUUCACUGAUGGGUCUCGCCUCAAUGGAUCCACUGGCUUCGGUGUUUUCAAUGAAAAUUCGAGCGCCUUCCGUAAACUGCAGGAACCUUGUUCCGUUUAUGUUGUUGAGCUGGCAGCAAUCGACUUCGCAUUGGGGAUGAUCUCCAACAAGCCUGCAGACCAUUACUUCAUUUUCUCGGAUAGUCUCAGUUCGCUUGAGGCUCUCCAGUCGAUGAGAACUAGUAGGCACCCAUCUUAUUUCCUCACAAAAGUGAGGCUGCAGAUGAGUGCACUGAUCGAAAGAUCUUAUAAGAUAACCUUUGUAUGGGUCCCCUCUCAUUGCUCAAUUCCUGGCAAUGAGAAGGCGGACACUCUAGCAAAGGUGGGUGCCCAGGAAGGCGAAUUGUUUGAUAGACAGAUUUCAUACGAUGAAUUUUUCCAAUUACUGCGUCAGAGUUCCCUCUUGAGUUGGCAAACCGAUUGGGACACUGGAAGUCUUGGGCGGUGGUUAUAUUCAAUUAUUCCAAAGGUUUCUUCGAGAGCGUGGUUCAAAGGUUUGGACGUAAGUCGUGACUUCAUUCGUGUAAUGAGUAGACUUAUGUCCAACCACUACUCGCUAGGGUGCCUAUUCUGUAUUCCGACGGAUUUCUAUUUCGUUCGAAAGUGAUAUUUCGAUCGUUUUCGAAUUUACCAUUCCCUAUUCCAAUCGUUUUGCUCGUUUCGAACGAAAGUGUUAGAAAAUUUCGAAUAUGCAUCGAUCUGUCAAAAACCGAUAAACAAAAAGAAACACCGUAUUAAAUAGCGGCGAGUGCGAGUUGAAUUUCAGUUAAUUUUUGAUCCUAAGAGAAAUUUGUGAGAAAAUUUUCUCGUUCAAUGGAUUCCGUUUUGUUACCGAUUUUGGCGGAGCAAGAAGAAAUUGGAAUGCCUUGCUACCAUCGGCGAAACCACCGAAAAUCAACCGACUUCAUAAAACUUUCUGAUGAAGCGUAAGUAUCCGUCUCAAAAAUCCCAUGUUUGUUUCUCUUAUUGAUUAAUUUUGCCCUUAUUCAGAUUCAUCAAAAGUUUUCGUCUAAGUAAGGAAGCUUUUCGGUACGUUUUAGAGGAAAUUGAGAACUGCCUUACCACAAGGAAAGGUGGUCUAUCCACGGAGGUGAAACUCGCAGCAUGUUUGCGAUUCUUUGCUGAAGGAAAUUAUCAACAUGGAGCAGGGCAAGAUUAUCACAUUGCCAUAGCACAGCCCACAUUUUCCAAGGUGCUGACUGAAAUGCUUAACAUUCUGGAGCGGACACUGUGUAAGAAAUGGAUUUCCCUAAAUAUGACGGAAGACGAACAGCGGCGUGCUAAACUACACUUCUAUCAGAAAACAUCAAUUCCGGGUGUUAUUAUGUGUUUGGAUGGAACCCACGUAAAAAUUAUUCCACCUAAGCUGAAUCGAAAUUUGUUUUUUAAUCGGAAGGGAUUUUAUAGUCUCAACGUUCUGAUUGUUUGUGACGAUCAGCAAAGGAUUCGUUUCGUUGAUCCUACCUUCCAGGGAUCUAAUCAUGACUCUCAUAUAUGGCGUGUAAGCCCUGCAAGAACUCACUUUGAGCAGCUUCAACAAAAUGGUGAAGUUAAUACUAAGAUUCUAGGUGAUGCUGGUUAUCCAUCGGAACCUUGGUUAGUAACGCCAUUCAGAGCAGCGGAGGAAGGGAGUUUGGAGAGCGAUUUUAAUCGCAGGCAUGCCUUGGGUCGUGCUAUCGUCGAGCGGACAAUCGGUUUACUAAAAAAUCGGUUUAGAUGCAUCCUUGGCGCGAGACAACUUCACUACAAUCCUACUAAAUGCGCUCAAAUUAUAAAUGUAUGCUGUGCACUUCACAAUAUAUGCUUAGAAUUUGGUCGUUCUCAGUAGUUAUAAUAUGUUAUGCAGCUGUUUACAUAAUAAACUUUUGUUUAAAUUAAUAUUUAUGACUGUUAAAUUUCAUCUAACUUGUUUGAAAAUGCUCAAAUAAAUAACAACCACCGGAAAAGGAAGUGUCUUCCUUACUUAACUAUGGUUUCGGCAGAAUUAUUUACUCUUAUUCCUGCCAACACUUUGAGAACAUGUCAUUAUCGAUUUCUCGUAAGCAGGCCAAGUAUUCAAAUAACCAUUGUUAAUACUUUUUGCGUUGUUUUAACCCCUUGCUGUACGAUUUAAUUUCCAACAGCACGGCCCAAAACGAGCACUUCGAGUCGUUCCGCUACUCUGCUGAGUGUGGGUAUCUAACAUGGGUGCCCUAUGAUGAGCAAAUACAUGUUGUGUUUAAAAUAAAAACGAAGGAGUUAUUACUACGUACUAACUCGUUCGUUUUUAUUUUAAUUAUAAUAUUCAAAUUAUAUUUUAUAUUUUUAGCUCAUUCAAUUUUUUUUUUAAAUAACGGAAAUUUGAUAAUCUUCAGUUGUCGGUAUCCUCAUCAUAUGCCUGAAGCUAUGUAAUUAUUUCACAUCGAGAAACAACGAGUGAAGUUCAAUGUUGUACGUGAAGGGGUUAAGGAAGUUCCAUAAACUAUAGGCGAAAUUCGUGAAUUUUAAAAAAGUUUAUAUAAUUUUGAUGCUAUUCCAAACAAACUUCAAAGAAAAAAUUAAGUAAGAUUUUUCUUCCAUGGAAAGAUAUAAAAAUACGAUUAGAACUUUUUUCAUUUUUUUAUACUUGAGUUACAAUAUAAAGAUAAAAAAUCAGAUCACUGAUAUUUUGAAACAUUAUUCUAAUGUUCUGAAAUAUACGCAAUCUGCGUUUCAAGGAUUUGUCGCUAUUGAUUUCUCCAGCGCGAUCUUCUCCAUCUCGUGGUUAUGUCGUUUUUGUUCACUCAGAUGUUCUUUGAGUGUGGCAUCCACGGAAAGAAUCGCUCGAGCUGAUUGGCGCUGAUAAUGAACCAGAUCACUCAAAUUCUUGUUUGUGUUUUUUAACAGGGAUUUCACAUUGGUGUGAAAUUUGUUUUGUUGCUCGACUUGCAGCUCUAAUAGCCUCGUGGUAGAAGGUCUGGAUUUUUUCGGCUGAGAGGGCUGGAAGUGAAUGGUAUUAUUGAUACCGUCACACUCGUCGGAAGUACCAUAAUAUAUAAAAUUUUCCUGGUCUGCAGCUUGAGGUUCACCCGAAGGCGAACCCAACUGUGUUCCAUGAGAUGAGGUACCCGGGAUUCCUUCCACGGUCGCAAGUAACCCAGUUAGUAGAACUGCCUGCUCCUCCAGCUCGGACAAAUUGAUAAUUUUAUUGGGUCCUCCACCUGUCGCCCUCUGCUCCCGUUUGUUGUGAGCGAGUUUUCGCUUUAAUCCGGACUUAUAGUCCGCCCAAACCUACACAGAAAACCAGGGCAAAAAUAAGACUAUAAACAUAUGUUUCGGAUUCGUUUUAGUAUAUACCUUUUUCCAUCCACUUCCAUCGCGAAUAGGCGGUCCCAAACUAUUGACUUCUGCCGCCAGAUCAUCCCAGAAGGGUCCGGAAUUUCCUCGGGAGAAACCCUUUGCUAUGUCCGGCUCUUGCUCCAGAAGCAGCACAAUCCGCUCGAACUGAUUUUUAGUGGUUGUUUUGUUUUUGUUUUUUUCCCUGUUGAACGUUAAAAUUAAUUUAAAGAAAAAAAUGAUUAAAAAUUAGCUUACAUUUUUGCAGUUCACCGCUCAUCCGCUGCGGAAAUUAUUCACUCCUUCAUAAACAAAGUGGGUUUGACGUUUGGUUUGAUUCGAAUGAAAGAUGUUCGAAAACAAAACAGUCCGAACGAAAGGUAUUCGAAUUUGAAAACACCUCGAACGAAACAGGGAAUGGAAUUUACCAAGUCGUUCGAAAUAUUUCGAAUCGAUUGAAAUACAGAAUAGACACCUAGAUGUGCACCU